UACGAAGGGGGCUAGCGUUGCUCGGAAUCACUGGGCGUAAAGGGUGCGUAGGCGGGUCUUUAAGUCAGGGGUGAAAUCCUGGAGCUCAACUCCAGAACUGCCUUUGAUACUGGGGAUCUCGAGUCCGGGAGAGGUGAGUGGAACUCCGAGUGUAGAGGUGAAAAUUCGUAGAUAUUCGGAAGAACACCAGUGGCGAAGGCGGCUCACUGGCCCGGUACUGACGCUGAGGUGCGAAAAGCGUGGGGAGCAAACAGGG
rnacentral:rRNA from 1 species